rnacentral:lncRNA from 1 species
GAGGUUCGGUCGUACAUGGGGUGACGACGGCGAGGAGGAAGACGGUCGUCUCAUGGGCCGCGCGCAAGGAAAGAAGAAGACGGGCCAUGGGGAAGGAGGGAGCCAGCCCACGUGCGCCUGAUAACCAGAGAAGAACAGAUAAAAGGGUUUUUUCUAUUUUCCAAUAAACCAAACAAGGCAAAAAUAUCCAGAGUAAAACACGGUGUUAAAAAUAAAAAGAAGAUCACCCGGGGCA